UCAGUUACUAAAUGUUCUCGUUUAUUUUAUUUUAUGUAGUAUUUUAUUUUGAGAAAGUGCUAAACUAAAAUUUCACGAAAUUGAAAACUUCUAUCCCGCCGGCUACUAAUCUCCCAUACCCUCAUUAGCUGCUACAUAUUCCAUUAGUUCCUCAACCUAAAUCCCAAUAACCACCGUUUGUUGCUCUGCUGCGAAUUUCCUUUUAAAUCUUCCCAAAAAGAAAAAACCCUAAUUAUUUGCUUCCAGUUAGCAAAUUAUCUUCUCAACUAACCCACAUAAUUCUUUGUCAUCUCUAAUCAUUUUUCUAUAUAUGUGAGGCAUAUAUAUACGAUGUGAAUUUCAGAUUGAAUAAGUACUACCCUUCAAAAAUUGCUAAAAGCUAUUCUCUUAAUUAGGCUUCGGGGUUUUUAAUUCAUUGUUGUGACUCUAGGAUCCACCGUUUAUCUAGUUUGUUGGAGAAAAUUGAUCAAGUUCAAGCCCAAAAAUUCUUAAAAAAGGCCAAACUUGAUAAUGAAUGGGUGCAGUGUGACAAAAGUAGGAAGAGGAGAAUAAAUAAUUCAUGCUGUGAAUCUACCUAAAGAGGAAUUUUAAUUUACCAAAAGUUUGACAUCUAUUUUUCCCUUUUGUAAUUAGCAGGAAAGUGAUGAUUUUAUUUGAUACUUUGUGCUCUAUAUCAGAUGUUGGAUGGUUUUGGAUGCAGGGUUCAAUAUAAUUUCAAGCUUAUUCUACAAGCACCUUCAAAAGGGUGAAUGACUUAUGAUGAGAGGAUGAUUUCUACAAGCAUUUCUCAUAUUGUUCUGUUUUAUAAAUCAUAAUAAUGUUAUAUUUUGUUUAGUUCAAAUCACCUCUUAUCACUCUGUUUCUUUUAGGAUGACAUAUGUGUCCUUUGUAGUUGAAAGUUGGUAACAUAUUUGUAAUCGACAAGUACAUCAUUUUCUAUAUUUUAUAAUUGAUGAUGUUGAUCGAUGUCGAUUAAAUUGGA